UGGGAUUACAAGUGUGCACAACUUUCCA
rnacentral:piRNA from 1 species